rnacentral:tRNA from 1 species
GGGGGUAUAGCUCAGUUGGUAGGGCACAUGCUCAGCAUGCAUGGGGUACUUGGUUCGAUUCCCAGUACCUCCA